GCGAUGAGCUGAUUUGUGUAAGUCGAAGAACGCGCGGUUUUCCGCACACAUGAAUGUGGUCAUGUGGUUUUUCGCCUCAAAACGCAAGGAGACGACUGUUUUUACAGCGUC
rnacentral:sRNA from 1 species